CAAUAGCGUAUAUUAAAGUUGCUGCAGUUAAAAAGCUCGUAGUUGGAUUUCUAGCGAGGCACGAGAAUAUCCACCUAUGGUGAAUACUUCUCUCGCCUUGCUCUUCUUUAGUUGAUGUCUCUGGCAUUAAGUUGUCGGAGUCCUGAGACUAAUCGUUUACUGUGAGAAAAUUAGAGUGUUCAAAGCAGGCUUAUGCCGUUGAAUAUAUUAGCAUGGAAUAAUAAGAUAGGACUUCGGUACUAUUUUGUUGGUUUGCGUACUGAUGUAAUGAUAAAUAGGGACUGGCGUGGGUAUUCAUAUUCAAUUGUCAGAGGUGAAAUUCUUGGAUUUAUGGAAGAUGAACUACUGCGAAAGCAUUUACCAAGGAUGUUUUCAUUAAUCAAGAACGAAAGUUAGGGGAUCGAAGACGAUUAGAUACCGU
rnacentral:rRNA from 1 species